GCUGGGCGUGGUGGCUCACGCCUGUAAUCCCAGCACCUUGGGAGGCAGAGGCGGGUGGAUCACCUGAGGUCAGGAGUUCAAGACCAUCCUGGCCAACAUGGUGAAACCCUGUCUUAA
rnacentral:sRNA from 1 species